GCGGCCGACCCCCCGCGCUGCUGGCCUCGGCGCUGGGCCUGGGCGGCUGCGUGCCCUGGGGUGCCGGGCGACUGCGGCGCGGCCACGGCCCCGAGCCCGACUCGCCCUUCCGCCGCAGCCCGCCCCGCGGCCCCGCCUCCCCGCAGCGCUGACCUCCACGCCCGGACCCCUGGCCACCCCGACAAGCUUCGCCGAGGUGCCGACCGACCGACUGAUCGCGGACGCCGGCUGGAAGGACUACGGAUCCGCAGGAAGAGGCAGUUGGGGGCCAGGGGCCCAGUAGAGGAGGCUGAGGUGCGGUCUUAGCGGCUGCUCCUUCCAACUCCUCAGAACCUCCACUCUAUGGAUCUGGACCUCUGGAUUCGGCUUUCUCCCUGGGCACUGCCUUCAGGAAGACGUUGAGAAUUGACCUUACACAAUCCCAGCGCCCUCCUCACAGGAGCCUUUCACUUUACAGUGGCAAGGGGCUGGUUCUGGAGAACUGGCUGAUGCUCUGAAUUUCUUCAUAUACCCCACAUUUGACUUUGGCUUACACUGUACAAUUGGAGAUGUUGCUACAGGUCCCUGAGAUGCAA
rnacentral:lncRNA from 1 species